rnacentral:rRNA from 1 species
UACAGGGGGUGCAAACGUUGCUCGGAAUCAUUGGGCGUAAAGCGCACGUAGGCGGUUCGUUAUGUCGGAUGUGAAAGCCCUUGGCUUAACCGAGGAAGUGCAUCCGAAACUGGCGAGCUAGAGUACUAAAGAGGAUCGCGGAAUUCCCGGUGUAGAGGUGAAAUUCGUAGAUAUCGGGAGGAACACCGGUGGCGAAGGCGGCGAGUCUGGGUCGAUACUGACGCUGAGGUGCGAAAGCGUGGGGAGCAAACAGG